AGAGUUUGAUUCUGGCUCAGGAUGAACGCUAGCGGCAGGCCUAAUACAUGCAAGUCGAGGGGCAGCAGGGGUAGCAAUACUCGCUGGCGACCGGCGCACGGGUGCGUAACACGUAUGCAACUUUCCUUCAACUGGAAGAUAGCCCGAAGAAAUUCGGAUUAAUAUUCAUAGUUAUAUGAAAUGGCAUCAUUUUAUAUUUAAAGCUCAGGCGGUUGAAGAUGGGCAUGCGUUCGAUUAGCUAGUUGGUGAGGUAAUGGCUCACCAAGGCUACGAUCGAUAGGGGAUCUGAGAGGAUUAACCCCCACACUGGUACUGAGACACGGACCAGACUCCUACGGGAGGCAGCAGUAAGGAAUAUUGGACAAUGGAGGCAACUCUGAUCCAGCCAUGCCGCGUGAAGGAUGAAGGUCCUAUGGAUUGUAAACUUCUUUUGAACGGGAGAAAACCUUCGGUCGUGUACCGAAGCUGAUAGUACCGUUAGAAUAAGGGUCGGCUAACUUCGUGCCAGCAGCCGCGGUAAUACGAAGGACCCGAGCGUUAUCCGGAUUUAUUGGGUUUAAAGGGUGCGUAGGCGGAAUGGUAAGUCAGUGGUGAAAUCUUGUGGCUUAACUGCAAAACUGCCAUUGAUACUGCCAAUCUUGAGUACAUUUGAUGUGGGCGGAAUGUGCCAUGUAGUGGUGAAAUACUUAGAUAUGGCACAGAACACCGAUCGCGAAGGCAGCUCACAAAACUGUUACUGACGCUGAGGCACGAAAGCGUGGGGAUCAAACAGGAUUAGAUACCCUGGUAGUCCACGCCUUAAACUAUGAUUACUCGAUGUGUGCGAUACACAGUACGCGUCUAAGCGAAAGCGUUAAGUAAUCCACCUGGGGAGUACGGUCGCAAGAUUGAAACUCAAAGAAAUUGACGGGGGCCCGCACAAGCGGAGGAGCAUGUGGUUUAAUUCGAUGAUACGCGAGGAACCUUACCUGGGCUUGAAAGUUAGUGAAUGCUGUGGAAACAUGGCAGGCCGCAAGGACACGAAACUAGGUGCUGCAUGGCUGUCGUCAGCUCGUGCCGUGAGGUGUUGGGUUAAGUCCCGCAACGAGCGCAACCCCUAUCUUUAGUUGCCAGCGAGUAAUGUCGGGGACUCUAAAGAAACUGCCCGUGCAAACGGUGAGGAAGGUGGGGAUGACGCCAAGUCAGCACGGCCCUUACGUCCAGGGCUACACACGUGCUACAAUGGCGAGUACAAAGGGCAGCUACAUGGUGACAUGAUGCUAAUCUCUAAAACUCGUCUCGGUUCGGAUUGAAGUCUGCAAUUCGACUUCAUGAAGCUGGAUUCGCUAGUAAUCGAAUAUCAGCAAUGAUUCGGUGAAUACGUUCCCGGGCCUUGUACACACCGCCCGUCAAGCAAUGGAAGCUGAGGGUACUUAAAGUCGAUAACCGCAAGGAGUCGCCUAGGGUAAAAUCGGUAACUGGUGUUAAGUCGUAACAAGGUA
rnacentral:rRNA from 1 species